rnacentral:rRNA from 1 species
UACGGGGGGGCAAGCGUUGUUCGGAAUUACUGGGCGUAAAGGGCUCGUAGGCGCCAACUAAGUCGGACGUGAAAUCCCUCGGCUUAACCGGGGAACUGCGUCCGAUACUGGAUGGCUUGAGUUUGGGAGAGGGAUGCGGAAUUCCAGGUGUAGCGGUGAAAUGCGUAGAUAUCUGGAGGAACACCGGUGGCGAAGGCGGCAUCCUGGACCAACACUGACGCUGAGGAGCGAAAGCCAGGGGAGCAAACGGG